AGAUUUGCACACAAUGGCAGCAUCAUAAUCAAUGAGGUUUAUUCGAGGCUCCAUUAUUGCUGCUUGAAAACUUUUCCCAUUACCCUCCGGUGAUAACUUGCAAUAUAGUCAGCAUUGGCAAUUUUUGACAGUCUCUAUGGAGA
ensembl:snRNA U4 U4 spliceosomal RNA